GAAGAGGGUAAAGAUAUGGAUGUUAAUUCCUGGAAGAAUAACAUGUCUGAGUUUAGGAAAACAAACAAACAAACAAAAAGUUAGUUUCCACCAAUAUUUGGGUACUUCCUUAGGAAAAAAAAAUAACAAAAAAGCCUUGGUUUAUAUAUUCAGCCUAUUCAGUCAGACUCUAAUCUGCGACAGGCAGCUCCUCUUGUUAUCUUCUAACAGGCAGGUGGCUUGGGGCUACGCCAACUCCCUGCGUCAAGUUCCAGCAGGGCUGAAGAGCAAACACUGUUCCACAUCCUGCCCCCAUUCCAACAUUCCUGUAUUCAAAGCAGGAAGGAGAAAUGCCGGUAGUAGGUUGAGGAGAGGGGACAGCUGCCCUGGAGAAGGUGGUGGGUUGGAAAGGGAGCCAAUGGCCAUGGUUUGUGCAAAGCAAAACUUCCCUCAUGGGUUUCCCAGUGGAAACUGCUUCUCCUUGUGGGGAAAAGCAGUGGCCUCCAUCUGCAGCUCCCCAGUCUCAUGGGAAAGGUGUUACCCUGGGAACUGCAGCAAACUUCCCGCCUGCAGGCUGGGGUUUAGGCCUGCAGGUCUUCUAAGGCACAAAUCCCAUCAGGAGACACAAAAUGUUUGUAUCAGGUGGCUGAGAAAAGCCUAAGUGCAGCACACACGAUGGCUCCUUUGGAACGGGGCAGCAGCUCACUCCACAGGCAGCCAGCACUCUCCGCAGGACCCCCAGCCAAUCCAGCCAAACCUACCUGCCCUUGCUUGCCAAGAGGGUGUCCGUGGCCAAAGAGUCCAGGAUGGUGACAGCAUGCUUUAAUGUCAUUGCUUAGUGUCUGGAAAAGAGGCAUCUGGGUAACCAGGACAGGGUGGCCUGUGUCCACCUUGAGACAGCAGAGCCUGAAACCAGUGGCUGUCUCCAGCUCACCUUUCCCCACUGGAAGAGAAUGUCAACAACAACUGCUGUAUUUCCAGGAGAAGUUUCAUCUACGCUAGGCUGGCAGGGGAUUUGGAAAGUGUACCAUCUCAAGCUCAGCAUACUUCAGUUCAUCUUUUACUGUGCCACAUGUAUAUGCUGAAUAAACUUGAGGCAAGAUUAGAGUGGAUGUAAGGAGUAAACUUUUUACAUGGGGUCUGAAGUCUAUAAAGAAAUCCU